GACGAACGCUGGCGGCGUGCUUAACACAUGCAAGUCGAGCGGUAAGGCCCUUUCGGGGGUACGACGAGCGGCGAACGGGUGAGUAACACGUGGGUGACCUGCCCUCAGCUCUGGGAUAAGCCUGGGAAACUGGGUCUAAUACUGGAUAUGACUCCACGGUGCAUGUCGUGGGGUGGAAAGCCUUGUGCGGCUGAGGAUGGGCCCGCGGCCUAUCAGCUUGUUGGUGGGGUGANGGCCUACCAAGGCGACGACGGGUAGCCGGCCUGAGAGGGCGACCGGCCACACUGGGACUGAGACACGGCCCAGACUCCUACGGGAGGCAGCAGUGGGGAAUCUUGCGCAAUGGGCGAAAGCCUGACGCAGCGACGCCGCGUGAGGGAUGACGGCCUCGG
rnacentral:rRNA from 1 species